rnacentral:rRNA from 1 species
AAAGAAACCAACAGGGAUUGCCUCAGUAACGGCGAGUGAAGCGGCAAGAGCUCAAAUUUGAAAUCUGGUCCUUUCAGGGCCCGAGUUGUAAUUUGUAGAGGAUGCUUCGGGUGCGGCCGCGGUCUAAGUCCCCUGGAACGGGGCGUCAUAGAGGGUGAGAAUCCCGUCUUUGACCGGCCGGCCACGCCCGUGUGAAGCUCCUUCGACGAGUCGAGUUGUUUGGGAAUGCAGCUCUAAAUGGGUGGUAAAUUUCAUCUAAAGCUAAAUACUGGUCGGAGACCGAUAGCGCACAAGUAGAGUGAUCGAAAGAUGAAAAGCACUUUGAAAAGAGAGUUAAACAGCAUGUGAAAUUGUUGAAAGGGAAGCGCUUGCGAUCAGAGUCGGCCGCGGGGGCUCAGCGGGCAUUCUUUGCCCGUGCACUCCCUCGUGGCCGGGCCAGCGUCGAUUUUGACGGCCGGUCAAAGGCCCCCGGAAUGUGUCGCCUCUCGGGGCGUCUUAUAGCCGGGGGUGCAAUGCGGCCUGUCGGGAUCGAGGAACGCGCUUCGGCACGGACGCUGGCUUAAUGGUCGUAAGCGACCCGUCUUGAAACACGGACCAAGGAGUCUAACAUCCACGCGAGUGUUCGGGUGUCAAACCCGUCCGCGCAGUGAAAGCGAACGGAGGUGGGAACCCUUAAGGGUGCACCAUCGACCGAUCCUGAAGUCUUCGGAUGGAUUUGAGUAAGAGCGUGGCUGUUGGGACCCGAAAGAUGGUGAACUAUGCCUGAAUAGGGUGAAGCCAGAGGAAACUCUGGUGGAGGCUCGCAGCGGUUCUGACGUGCAAAUCGAUCGUCAAAUUUGGGUAUAGGGGCGAAAGACUAAUCGAACCAUCUGGUACUGGGUCCUG